ensembl:lncRNA
CGCUGUCCUCCCCGCCGUCCCUCACCCGUCCCCUCCCUACACCCGCCCUCUCCCCUCGUUUCCUCUCCCCCCGCCCCCCUCCGCUGUCCCUCGCCCGCCUCGCUCCUCCCCGCUCCUCCUCCCUGCACCCUGCCCAAUCGCCGCGCGCCGCCGCCGCUCCCUUUGUCUGGGCCGCGAGCGCGGGCCAAUGGGAUUGCGCGGAGAGGCGGGCGGCGCGCGUCUGGGCCAAUGGGCGGGCCGGGCGGGCCUCGUGGGUAGGCGCCGCGGCCCGGGUGUCCGUGCGUGGCCGGGCGGCGUCGGGCAGGCCCGCACCCGCGGGCAGGACUGAGGCUCGGGAGGCGGGAGACUCACCGUCCCCAGUCCCCCGCGUUUUCUCCCCGCUCUGACUCUGUCCUCCGCUGUCCGGAAACGCGCCCCGGAAGGCGGGGUUGGGGAAGACCCCCGCGUGGCGGCUGCGCAGCAGGACGGCAGCAGGACCCCGGAGGCCCAGAAGGGGUUGGUUAAGAACAGCUCUGAUCCGCGCCCCGCGCCUUGCGCAUUUCCCCGAGGACUUGCAGAGAAGCGAAGCACUCCCGGGAGGGAAGGAGGGUGCCCUGAGAGCGAGGACGGGACAGCGCCCCGGAGUCCCGGAGGGAGGUGCUGCUUAGAAGCGUCUCUGCCCGCAACGAGGUCCCCUGGGGUGGGCCGGGGGGAUGGCCGUGGGAGAGGGGCCCAGGAGCCUGUCCGGGUCUUACGCGCUGCCUGGCGUUGUCUCAGGGUCACCCCGAAUGAGGAGCAGACUCCUGUUCCCCGGAGCUGGGUCAUACUGAGGGAGAAAUGUCAGGACCCCAAGAGCCAGGGCCCUGGGGCUCUCAGAUCUGGAGUCUCCACGGCCAGGGCUGCAUGCCUGCUGCUCUUUGAGCCCUCCUGGGAGGUGGGCCUCUGCCCAGCUCAUCUGGAAGACAGGUCAAGGGAAGGGCCUGCCGCUGCCCUCAGCCCUGUGGGACGGCAGGAGGAGAGAAGUAUUCUGCUGCUUCCCCACUGGGGGUGGGUGAUGAGACCUGUUUGGGAUGCUCAUUUGCUAGUUCCAGGUCUUCUUUUCCCUAAGGAAACACAAAGCAGAUUGGCUUGCUUCUAGAUGACGACUUCUGUGGACUCUAGUCCUACACUUUUCUUCAAAGUAGCAGACACAAUCUUAAUUCCAUGAGGAGGAGGAGCCACAACAGGGGCAUGGGCUUUGGUGGUCCCCAGUGUCAGGAAGGGUGGCUUCCAAUUUUCCUUGGUUUCCAAACCUCGCCUCAAAAUGAAAUCACAAAUAAACCAAAAUAAAACUCAAGUAAAGCAUCUGUGGAUGGUUCGGUUUGAAAGCAGUGGACAGAGAGAUCAGGAAGGGCCCACCUGUAGGAUCCAGUUCGUCCAUCUAGGGUUGAGUUGAACCCAGGAGGUAAGUAAGGUGCUGCAUGGCAGAGGGACCUGCCAGGUUUGGCCUAAGGAGGGUCAGGCCCCCACGUCACUGGAGCUGCUGUCGCCAAAUUCACCGUCCAACACCUCAUUACUAAAGCCACUAGACAAUGACCUCUGAGGCUCCACCUCGGGGUUCCUCACUCCUGGGAUCAGGGGAGUGCUGAGCGAGCCAUGCAGCAGCCAGGGACAAGCAGCCCCUCCCAGUAGCCUGCCCUGGUCCGGGCCAGGUUGCAGCCCACAGACCCCAUCAACGUGGCCUUGGAAAUGCUGCUCCUGGGGAUUAAGCAUUCAAGGCUUGAGAACUCCUGCCCUCAGUGCCUGGAAAUGACAGAAAAAAAUUAAAAUUCGUUAGAACCAGGAGAACAAGAAGGGCACCCUUAAACCGGAAAUCCUGAGGAAUCCUGGGGAGAUGUGGAGGCCAUUGCUCUGGCUGGAGGGAAGAAACCACAGCCAAAGGCACUGAGGCAGAAACCGCGGGCAGGUGACGGGGGCUCAGAGGCAGCAGCUGAGGGGGCCUGGGGCAACUUUCAGGGUGAUGCACAGGGUGUCUGUGGAGCUCGGCCCCACCCCUCGCUAUCCUAAGCAGCAGGCAGUGGACAAAGAAGUUCCCAUUGGUGAACAACACCUGGAAGGAGCAGAGAGUCUCAUGUCCCUGGACUUGCUGGGCCCUCCACACGGUCGCUUGAGGCCACUGACCGCUUGCUGAUGGACAAACGGGGAACUUCACAUACAAAGAGGAGCACAGAUGCCGGCCCCACGGGAAGCACCAAACACCGCAAAUGGACCGACUCAUGAGCUGGCUGAGGCUGUAGCGGGCCAUCUGGGUCAGGCUCUCCUUCCUCCGUGCAUGGGCUAGACUCCAUUUCCCCAAUUCCCUAACAAGGAGGUGUGGCCAUGUGACCAGCUCCUCUGCAGUGGAGUUGAGCAGACAUGACAGGUGCCACUCCUGUGCCUGGCAGCACCUCCCUCCACACUCCUCCCCCUUCCCGUGGGCCCGAAUGGCUAUGACACCAGUGAGUCAGGAAGCUUCACUACCAGGAUUUCAAAUCCCCGUCAGCCGGGGGCCCUGAACCACUGCAGGAGUCGAGGCCACUGUUGACUUGGAAGCCUUGCCACAGGUUCUCAAGAGAGAGAAGCCUGUGCCCCUGGAAGAGUGGCUCAUGGGAAGCCACUGGUCCAAGGAGGAUGAGGGAACCCUGGAGCAGACCUGAACCCGCCCUGCUUGGCCCUGAGAGCCCUGAGUCUUUAAGAAUUCUUUGUGGGGCAGGCCCCGUGGCCGAGUGGUUAAGUUCGCACCUUCUGCUUCGGCGGCGCAGAGUUCUCCGGUUCGGAUCCCGGAUGCAGACCGACACACCACUCAUCAAGACAUGCCCAGGCGGCGUCCCACAUAGAAGAGCUAGAAAUGACCUACAACUAGGAUAUACAACUGUGUACUGAGCUUUGGGGAGAAAAAAAAAAAAAAGAGGAAGAUUGGCAACAGAUUUUAGCUCAGGGCCGAUCUUCCUCACCACGAACUCCGCAUGUUUUCGACACGAGUCCUGGGCUGGGUUUGCG